GUAUAUUGAUUAUUUUCCAACCCAACCACCACAAAUCAAUGGCAUUGAGAAUAUCAUCUAUCAGGCAAACACUUUUUGCUGAAUAAUCAAGCCAUUCACACCACCAAGCCAAAUUUCUCUGAUAAUUGUUGUCGUGAUCGUUUGGAUGAAGCUGCAGGAAAAGAGCAGCGCGAGGGAAAAAAAAGCCAAGAGACUUCCAGAGAGCGUUGCAGAGUAUGCAACCCCCUAAAAACCUAGAGACUUUUUCCCCCCACACACGCACUCUCCCCCCACAGCUUUUGGUUGUGAGCGAACUCACAAGACUUUUUCCUAUGAUGAUCCCUCCGCAGGUUCACCUACGGAGA
rnacentral:misc_RNA from 1 species